rnacentral:rRNA from 1 species
UGCAAGUCCGAGCGGACAGAUGGGAGCUUGCUCCCCUGAUGUUAGCGGCGGACGGGUGAGUAACACGUGGGUAACCUGCCUGUAAGACUGGGAUAACUCCGGGAAACCGGGGCUAAUACCGGAUGCUUGUUUGAACCGCAUGGUUCAAACAUAAAAGGUGGCUUCGGCUACCACUUACAGAUGGACCCGCGGCGCAUUAGCUAGUUGGUGAGGUAACGGCUCACCAAGGCAACGAUGCGUAGCCGACCUGAGAGGGUGAUCGGCCACACUGGGACUGAGACACGGCCCAGACUCCUACGGGAGGCAGCAGUAGGGAAUCUUCCGCAAUGGACGAAAGUCUGACGGAGCAACGCCGCGUGAGUGAUGAAGGUUUUCGGAUCGUAAAGCUCUGUUGUUAGGGAAGAACAAGUACCGUUCGAAUAGGGCGGUACCUUGACGGUACCUAACCAGAAAGCCACGGCUAACUACGUGCCAGCAGCCGCGGUAAUACGUAGGUGGCAAGCGUUGUCCGGAAUUAUUGGGCGUAAAGGGCUCGCAGGCGGUUCCUUAAGUCUGAUGUGAAAGCCCCCGGCUCAACCGGGGAGGGUCAUUGGAAACUGGGGAACUUGAGUGCAG